GUGCCAGCCGCCGCGGUAAUACGUAGGGUGCAAGCGUUAUUCGGAAUUAUUGGGCGUAAAGCGUGCGCAGGCGGUUUUUUAAGUCUGAUGUGAAAUCCCCGGGCUUAACCUGGGAAUUGCAUUGGAAACUGGGAAACUAGAGUGCGGCAGAGGAGAGUGGAAUUCCACGUGUAGCAGUGAAAUGCGUAGAGAUGUGGAGGA
rnacentral:rRNA from 1 species